AGCGAACGCUGGCGGCAGGCUUAACACAUGCAAGUCGAACGGUCCUUCGGGAUAGUGGCGGACGGGUGAGUAACACGUGGGAACGUACCCUUAGGUUCGGAACAACACAGGGAAACUUGUGCUAAUACCGGAUAAGCCCUUCGGGGGAAAGAUUUAUCGCCUUUGGAGCGGCCCGCGUCUGAUUAGCUUGUUGGUGAGGUAAUGGCUCACCAAGGCUACGAUCAGUAGCUGGUCUGAGAGGAUGGCCAGCCACACUGGGACUGAGACACGGCCCAGACUCCUACGGGAGGCAGCAGUGGGGAAUCUUGCGCAAUGGGCGAAAGCCUGACGCAGCCAUGCCGCGUGGAUGAUGAAGGUCUUAGGAUUGUAAAAUCCUUUCACCGGGGACGAUAAUGACGGUACCCGGAGAAGAAGCCCCGGCUAACUUCGUGCCAGCAGCCGCGGUAAUACGAAGGGGGCUAGCGUUGCUCGGAAUUACUGGGCGUAAAGGGCGCGUAGGCGGACAGUUAAGUUGGGGGUGAAAGCCCGGGGCUCAACCUCGGAAAUGCCUUCAAUACUGGCUGUCUUGAGUACGGGAGAGGUGAGUGGAACUCCGAGUGUAGAGGUGAAAUUCGUAGAUAUUCGGAAGAACACCAGUGGCGAAAGCGACUCACUGGCCCGUUACUGACGCUGAGGCGCGAAAGCGUGGGGAGCAAACAGG
rnacentral:rRNA from 1 species